rnacentral:rRNA from 1 species
GACGGUGGAUGCCUUGGCAUCUGGAGCCGAAGAAGGACGUAUGAAUCUGCGAUAAGCCUCGGGGAGUUGAUAACAGAACUUUGAUCCGAGGAUUUCCGAAUGGGGAAACCCCGUCAGGCGUGGCAACACGACCUGAUGACUCCCGCCUGAAUAUAUAGGGCGGGUAGAGGGAACGUG